UGCGUAGGGGGCAAGCGUUAUCCGGAUUUACUGGGUGUAAAGGGAGCGUAGGUGGCAGGGCAAGUCAGAUGUGAAAACCCGGGGCUCAACCCCGGGAGUGCAUUUGAAACUGUCCAGCUGGAGUGCAGGAGAGGUAAGCGGAAUUCCUAGUGUAGCGGUGAAAUGCAUAGAUAUUAGGAGGAACACCAGUGGCGAAGGCGGCUUACUGGACUGUAACUGACACUGAGGCUCGAAAGCGUGGGGAGCAAACAGG
rnacentral:rRNA from 1 species